rnacentral:rRNA from 1 species
AAUUGCAGAAUUCAGUGAAUCAUCGAAUCUUUGAACGCACCUUGCCGCCUCUUGGUCUUAUUCCGAGGGGCUUGCCUGUUUUAACUUUCUUG